GACCGGGUAGCUCAGUUGGUUAGAGCGUUGUCCCGAGAUGCCAAGGUUGCAGGUUCAAUCCCUGGUCAGGGCA
rfam:Myotis lucifugus cont2.641, whole genome shotgun sequence.